rnacentral:rRNA from 1 species
GAUGAACGCUGGCGGCGUGCCUAAUACAUGCAAGUCGAGCGAACGGACGAGAAGCUUGCUUUUCUGAUGUUAGCGGCGGACGGGUGAGUAACACGUGGAUAACCUACCUAUAAGACUGGGAUAACUUCGGGAAACCGGAGCUAAUACCGGAUAAUAUUUUGAACCGCAUGGUUCAAAAGUGAAAGACGGUCUUGCUGUCACUUAUAGAUGGAUCCGCGCUGCAUUAGCUAGUUGGUAAGGUAACGGCUUACCAAGGCAAAGAUGCAUAGCCGACCUGAGAGGGUGAUCGGCCACACUGGAACUGAGACACGGUCCAGACUCCUACGGGAGGCAGCAGUAGGGAAUCUUCCGCAAUGGGCGAAAGCCUGACGGAGCAACGCCGCGUGAGUGAUGAAGGUCUUCGGAUCGUAAAACUCUGUUAUUAGGGAAGAACAUAUGUGUAAGUAACUGUGCACAUCUUGACGGUACCUAAUCAGAAAGCCACGGCUAACUACGUG